UGCCAUCAUUUAGUUGGGCACUCUGAAGGGACUGCCGGUGACAAGCCGGAGGAAGGUGGGGAUGACGUCAAGUCCUCAUGGCCCUUACGGGCUGGGCUACACACGUGCUACAAUGGUGGAUACAAUGGGCAGCAACCCCGCGAGGGCAAGCUAAUCUCCAAAGUCCAUCUCAGUUCGGAUUGUUCUCUGCAACUCGAGAGCAUGAAGUCGGAAUCGCUAGUAAUCGUAGAUCAGCAUGCUACGGUGAAUACGUUCCCGGGCCUUGUACACACCGCCCGUCACACCAUGGGAGUUGGUUUUACCCGAAGGCGGUCCGCCAACCUUUUAGGAGGCAGCCGACCACGGUAAGGUCAGCGACUGGGGUG
rnacentral:rRNA from 1 species